rnacentral:rRNA from 1 species
UACUAGAGUAGCACUUGCAUAUCAAUAAGCGGAGGAAAAGAAACUAACAAGGAUUCCCCUAGUAACGGCGAGUGAAGCGGGAAGAGCUCAAAUUUGAAAUCUUAAAGGGUUUCCCUUUACGAAUUGUAGUUUAAAGAAGUGUUUUCUGUUGAGGUUUUGGUAAAAGUUCUUUGGAAUAGGACAUCAUAGAGGGUGAGAAUCCCGUAUUUGACCUUUACUUUCAACUUUGUGAUACACUUUCAAAGAGUCGGAUUGUUUGGGAAUGCAGUCCAAAAUGGGUGGUAAAUUUCAUCUAAAGCUAAAUAUUGGCGAGAGACCGAUAGCGAACAAGUACCGUGAGGGAAAGAUGAAAAGAACUUUGAAAAGAGAGUUAAACAGUACGUGAAAUUGUCAAAAGGGAAGCGUUUGACACCAGUGUUGUUUUUCUGAAAAUCAAUUAAAGAACUGUUUAUGCUAAGUUGUUUAGACUUUAUCAGCUAUCUGUUUAGUUUUGAGCUUUUCUUUAAUGCACUUUUCAGUUAACAAGUCAACAUCAAUUUCUUUUGCUGUAAAAAAGCUUGAGGAAGGUGGCUUGAGAUUCGUCUUAAGUGUUUAUAGCCUCUUGCCUAUGCAGUCGGAGAGAUUGAGGUCUGCAGCGUAGAUCCUUCGGGGCUAAAUGCAUUUGUGCUAAGUUAUAGCAUUUUAUAGACAACUUGUUGACUAUGAUUUGUCUUGUAGCUUACUCGCUUAUGUUAUUUUACCUACGCUUAGGAUGUUGAGUCAUCACACAUCUCU